UACAGAGGUCUCGAGCGUUAGGCGGAAUCACUGGGCUUAAAGCGUGUGUAGGCGGAUCGUUAAGUACCUUGUGAAAUCCCACGGCUUAACCGUGGAACUGCUUGGCAUACUGGCGGUCUUGAGCCAGCUAGGGGCUACCGGAACAAAUGGUGGAGCGGUGAAAUGCGUAGAUAUCAUUUGGAACGCCAAAGGUGAAAACAGGCUGCUGGGGUUGUGCCGACGCUGAGACACGAAAGCCAGGGGAGCAAACGGG
rnacentral:rRNA from 1 species